GCCCGAGUCCUCAAGGAUACUAGUCAGGUUCAUUAUUGCAGAGCCACAAUGGGAACUCCUGUGCAACCAUUUUUGUCAAAGAAGGUUAUAAAAGCAUUUUGCUUUUUCAUCCUUCGCUCGCCCCUUUCAAAAACAGUCUUAUUAUUCUCUAAUUGCAUUCUCAGGACUGGCCCUGGAGCCAAACUCCUAGUUCUACCCUUCACUAGAAAUAUGACCUUAAACUGUUUAAUUUCUCACUUCGGAUGCCUCAUCUGUAAACUGGAGGUGAUAAUAAUCUCUACCUCAUAAGAUUAUAGAAUGGAUUAUUGAGAACAAGGGGCGUAAAGCACCUGAUGCUCGAAAGAACUCAAUAGAUGGUCGUUAUUAUUAACACAAUGCUCAGCACCUAAGAGCUAAAUAAAUGCUAGUUAUCAUGGCUCAGAAGUGAGGUGAUGGCUUAGGGGAGAGGCCCUCCUAAAAUGAUAUUUUUAGAAGGAGGACAAGAAAGGAAAUUAGUGGACAUGCCCCUAUGCCAGGCACUUUUCAUACAUCAUGUAAUUUCAUCCUCACCCAUUGUUGUAAGUCAGAUAUUAUCAUUCCAGAGCAGGACGAGGGUGAGGGGAGGGAGGUACCUAGAGGCCAAAAUUAAGGAGGGAGGCACUCCCUCUCAGGGUUGUGCUGAGGGAAAUGAGGCUCUAACAGGGUAGCUUGGUAACAGAGAGGUGAGCAGCAGAGAUGGGAUUUCCCCUCUGGUCUGCCAGCUGAAGCUGUGGUGUCGACCUGACAUGGACCAACCAUGGGGCUUCCUUGCUAUGGGUUUUCACCCCUUGACCCCAUCUGAUGGUACAGAUCUCUGAGAAACUGCCCAGCUUGUUCUGGAAGGUGCCCAGCUGUGAUUGCCCCCCCAUGACUCAAGUCCCUAGCAACCUAAAAUGUUCUAACUUUCCUUUCACUGGAGGGCCCUGCUGACAUAGCUGCACUUUCAGCUUCUUGAGAGUAUCAUAGCAAUGGCCUCUUAAGAUUUUCUCAGUGAGCCCAGAUUCUAACAACUUCUAAUAACUUAAUAAGAAAGGCUUCUUAAGGCAAAACUGGGAAUUUCUGAUCUCUUCGUGAAAAGCUAAGCUUUUUGACCUCCCAUGGCAGAGGAUGCUUCUGGAGGCCACUCCUAUCACUAGGACGAGUCCUUCAGGCCUGCACUUGGGAUUGUUUUCCAACAUCUUUACUUCAAGGUAAAAUAGCUCUGGGGGUAAAAAAAAGCUGCCUUACCAUUUAGUGUUGCCUGUUCCUGAAGAUGGAAAGAUUUACCCAGUGAACAGAGAGCUGAAGCCACACUUGACUUUGGGGAGCUUUCUCUGCGACUCCCUGAGGCGUUUGUGUGAAUGACCAACAUAAGGGCAGGCAAAACCUUUGAAGGAACAAUGAAAGUCUGUUUGGAUAAGCUUCCCUGGAGUCUGAGGGUAGACUCUACAAAGGUGCCCCUCCCUCCACUCCACCUCAAGAGAGGAGGCUGAGCAGAGAAAUGAGUUAUUGGGAAGGAUUGUCCAAAUAAAAAGAUGACCUUUGUUUUGUUUUCAAGGUUUAGCGAUUUCUCUAGGAACAUGCUAUGGUCUGGCUUGUGUCCCCCAAAAUUCCUAAAGUGAAGCUCUAACCCCUAAUGUGACUCUAUUUGGAGAUGGAACCCAUUAGGAGGUAAUUAAGGUUCACCAAGGUCAUAAGGUGGGGCCCUGAUACCAUAGGAUUGGUUCUUACAAGAGACAUCUGAGGUCCACCAUGUGAUCUAGACAAGAAGAGGGUCUCACCUGAAUCCGGCAUUGCUGGCACUGUGAUCUCAGACUUCCAACCUCCAAAACUGUGAGUAAAUAUAAUUUCUAUUGUUUAAGCCAUGCAGCCUACAGUAUUUUGUUAUUGAAACCAGAGGUGACUAAUACAAAACACUUGGUAAUACACCCACAAUUUAUCCAGUUGGCUCCCAGAUUUGCAUCUGUAUCUCUUUAAUCCUCACCAUCCAAGUAAGUAGGUAAUAAUUUUUGCUGGUUAAUGGCUGAAAUUAGAAUAAUAGACUCUUUGGAUUAUAGUCAAGUCCAGAGCUGGGUAGUCUUAUAUGGCACACUUAACCUUUUUGGGCAUCAAUUUCUUCAAGUGCAAAAUGUGGAACGUAUUAGUUCCUGCUUCACAGAUUGCUUACGAGGAUCUAUUUCUGUGUCCACAACCCCCAGUGGGUGGUGUAGGCACUGACCAAGCGGGCCAGAGCCAAAUCAUAUUCCUGGAAGUCAGAAUUAGGGAGGCCAGAAAAGAGAGCACCAGAGGGGUAAGUAUCUAUGUUCUUAAACUGCAUGAGGUUUCAGUGCUAAGACUGGGCAUAGGGACUGGGCUCAAACAGGAAACACAGGUGAGCGCCUUACUGGGGAGAAGCAUGUGCUGGACAAGUAGAACAGAACAAUACUGAAGAUUGCCACAGAUUGCCUUAUAGGAUCAGAUAAGAUACGAAUGGAGUGAGUUAGGUGACGCACCUAGCACGUGGUAAUGAUUGAAAUCAGUACCAAAGGCAUUAGUUUUUGUGUUAAAAACCCUUCUCCCACACCCAUGAUUCAAAGGGCAGGUUAAUGAUGAAGAUGUUGAUGAAGCAGGGGGUUUGAUGAGGGUCGGGGUUCAGGUGUGCACUGGAUGCAGUAGUUAUUAAGCAUCAAUUUGCUUUCCUUCCUCCUUUCCCUUUCAUGACGUAAUUGAAUAUAAUGGCCCUGUUGGUAGCUCACUGACCAUGCUUCCCACGUGGGAGUCUUCAGCGUUCAUCCCAGGAUGUGCACCCCUCUCCCCACUGCCCUUCGGCUGAGCUGGGAGGCCAGGUCUCUGGGCCUUGGGUAGCAGGAUGUUCCAGAAGGGCCCACAUAGUUUAACAGAGGACUUUAAUUAGGAACAUUGAAGUGGUGCCACCAGGACCCUUAGGACUCUGGUUUGAAAUCUUAGAAACUCUCUCCCAGUGAAGCAACCAAAUGCCUUGUUACAGAAAAGCAUUUUGAGAAAAAUAUAUUCAGGCACAUUAUCAUUAGACCAGAGAAUCUGUUGUAUCUGAAAAGGAAUAAGGGCGAGGAUUCAGACACCUGCCCAACAAAGACAUCUUAUCUGAAACAAUAAGGCAGAGAUUGUUCUGGACUCCCUUGCUUUUGCGCCCCAGGGUUGUUUGGCUUGAAUGACUGCCAAAGCCUAAAGUUCAAAAGAGAGUCACCAGUGGGAAAGAGGCCAGCCUUCUUGGAGUUGGGUUCCCAGAAUUCUCCCAUUUAUUGUCAAGCCUCUCACUCCAAGGUCAACCUGCUCUGGUUGGUGGUUCGGUUUUAGAUACAGCCCCUCCCUGUACCAUAUAAAGACUGCGAGAGGGAUUCUGACAGUAAAAUCAUCAACUAUGUUGUCCAUUCAAGGACCUAAACUUGGAUAUGUCAACUUCUUCCAGAAGCCACCACCAACGUCCUGUCUGAGGUUCAUGAGGAUGGGCAGCCCCUCGCACACUGAACACAGCUAUUCUCAUUAGGCUGUCAUAACAGGAGCAAGCAUUUCAUCCUUUUAAAAGUGUUUUGUUGUAGUUGAAUGCAAAUAUGAAUUCAGUUGAUAGGAGUUUAGGUAAGCCAUUAUGCUAAGCUUGGUUUCAUCUUUGAGAUCUUCCACUCUUUUGCUUAACACCCCCUGCCCGUGAAACAUUCACCAUGUCCUGCUGGGUUCUACCUCCGAGUUACCACAGGAACCAACCACUUCUCCAUUGCCACCACACUGGCCAAGUCACCCUCAUGUUUCACCUCUGUUACUGUGACAGCCUCCUAACUGUCCUCUCUGCCCCAAGUCUGCCCUCCCCUCCCCCACAAAAUCUAUUCUCUGUGCUCUCACCAGAACAGUGGUUUCAGCACCCAAGCCUCCCCUUGCUCAAAACCUUGUUGCUCCUAGGCUAAAACUCAGAACUUUUCCCCUGGCCCCUGCCUGCCUCUGCCUCCUCAUCUUGACCCUUGUUCCCUGUCCAUCCCUCUCUGCCUGCAGCCAUAUUAACCUCCCAGCUUCUUCCACCCUUCCCUCCACCACCCAUCGAUCACAGUUCAAAUGGCACUUCCUAGGAAAGUUUCCCACGAGACCCCCUAUCUAGGGCAGGUCUCUCUUUCAGUUUUCAUUAACUGUGUUUUCUUUUCUUGAGAGUAAUUACCUCCAUUGUUACUUCCACAUUCAUGAGUGUGAUUACAUAAUAAAGAUCCAUCUUCCCUUCUGGUCUCUAAGCUCCAUGAGAGCAGAAGCAUAUCUGCUCACCAUCAUACCCGCAGACCUUUAACCCAGUCAGUGCCUGGCACAGAAACAGGUUCUCAUGGAACAUUAUUUGGAUGAAUUUCUGAGAGGGAGACACCGAGUGAAAAACACAGACAGCUAUGAAUCAGAGCUGCUGUUGUUUUUCGAAAAGGUCAGUACAUUUGAAGGGAAGGUAAAUUAUUUUCAAAACUUGGAGACAAGGUCACUCACAAAAAUCAGCAUGUAACAGAUGAGAUUAUGUGUGCACAGAAUCCAGAGUAAAAAGACCUAACAGCCUGUCAAAACCACACAGGCAAAAAAUAAAAACAAAACAAAACAAAACAAAACAAAACCCACACAGGAAGGGCAGAGAGGAUUUUGGACCCAAGAGUGUAUGGUCAAAAGUCAGAGAGAGAGGGAGACGGCAGGAAGCAGUGAGGUCCUGGCAUACCUGGGGUAAAAGCUGUCUCCUGACACUGGUUUGUAACACAGCCUGUGAGACCAUGUUAAUGAACAAAAUUAAUGGGGACCCAGGAUGAGACAGAUCCCUUCAGCAACCAUAAAACAUGAUCUAUAAAUGUACCAGGAUUGGAGAGUUGGGAGCCAGCCAUAUCUGUAAGUACAGAGCAAUAACUGACUGUUGUGUGGUCUGCCUGAUGGAAGUGCAUGGCCUCUACAAGAAGGGAGGCUCAUGUGUCAGAAGCUCCUGCUCCCUGCUUGUUGGAUGGAGGACUGGUGCCCAGCUGGCUCAUGGUUGGCGGAUGACCCUGACCAUGGAGAUCAUCCACACCACGGUCCUCUGGUCUCAGAUUCCCCAAGCAGCCUCUGAUCACAGACUAGACUUACAGAGACCCUUUCCUGCUCUAGUGGAGAAAAAAACUUUGUCUAGAUACUCAUGUUGCAACAGAAGAAAGGGUGGGGGGAAAUGUAAUUGUAAUGUAUACAUGUAAGGAUAACCUGAUCCCCUUGCUGUACAGUGGGAAAAUUAAAAAAAAAAUUAUAAAAAAUAAAAAAAAUAAAGACUGGCCCACUUCGGUAGGUUGAAUAACAGCCUCCAAAGAUGUUCACAUCUGAAUCCCUGGAAUUGGUGAGUACAUUACCUUAGGUUGCAAAAGGACUUUUGCAGACGUGAUUAACAAGAAUCUUGAGAUGGGAAGAUUUUCUUGGAUUUUCUAGAUAAACCAAAGAUAAUCUCAAGAGGGAGGCAAGAGCACAGGGCAGAGACACUGCAAGAUGCAACACUGCUGGCUUUGAAAACGAAAGGGCCAAAGAAUGAUGGGCGUCUCAAGAAGCUGGAAAAGUCCAGGAAACAUUCUCCUCUAGAGCCUGCAGAAGGGACGCAGAGCACACCAGAGUUUGAGAACCACCAGCCUGAAGCCCAGCAUCCUCAGCGUGGCUCAGAAGGCCUGCACCAUCUGGCUCUGCCUGCCUUUGGCCUCACCUCCAUCAGCCAGAUUGAAAUACUCCCUGUUCUAGAAACAGGCGUUGUACCUGAGGUAAAUCUGACUGAGGCUGGUCGUUACUAAGGCCACUGGUGAAAUCACAUGCCUGAAAGUCCCUCUGUUGGAUCCAUUCUGCGACACAACAUGCUCAGCAGUGAAGGGGGGAACCCAUCAGGCCUUCCUGGUCAAUUCAGAGGACACAGUCAGCUCUGGCAACAGAGCAAAGACAAGAGUUCCUGCUGCUCCAUAUCCUUGCCAGCAUUUGGUGUUCUCAGUGUACUGAAUUUUGACCAUUUUAACAGCAUGUGGAAGGGCCAGGGAUCGAAAUCACACCAUAGCAGCAACCUGAACCACUGCAAGACAAUACGAGGUUCUUAACCCACUGUGCCACAAGGAAACUCAUGUAAAAUGUGUCUUACACAAAGAUUUUCUCCUAGUCUCUGGCUUGUCUUCUCAAGCUCUCUCACAGAGAAGUUUUCAAUUUUUAUGAAGUUCAGCAUAUUAAUAAACUCUCUAAUGUAUCAUAUCCUUGGUGUCAUAUCUAAAAAGAUAUCACCACACACAAGGUCACCUAGGUUUUCUCCUAUGUUAUGUUCUAGAAGCCUUGCAGUUUUGAAUUUAGGUAAUUUUGAGUUAAUUUUUGUGAAGGGUGUAAGGUCUGUCUAUGUGUGCAUGUAUGUAUGUGAAUGUUCAGUUGCUCCAGCACCAUUUGUUAGAAAGAAUAUAUUUGUUCCAUUGUACUGUCUUUUGCUUCCUUUUUGCAGUUGACUGUGUUUAUGCAGGUCUAUUUCUAGGCUCUUUAUUUGGUUUCAUUGAUCCAGCUAUUUUUUUCACCAAUGCUUUGUCACUGUAGCUUUAUAGCAGUAAGUCUUAAAGUCAGGUAGUGUCAGUCCUCCACCUUUGUUCUUCUUCAAUAAUGUAUUAGCCAUUCUGGAUCUUUAACUUCUCCAUAUAAACUUUAGAAUUGGUUUGUUAAUAUCUACAAAAUAACUUGUGGGAAUUUAGUUGAGAUUUCAUUGCAAUAUUGAGUCUUCCUGUCCAUGAACAUGAAGUAUCUCUCCACUUAUUAAGUUCCUGAUUUCAUUAAUCAGAAUUUUGUAG